rnacentral:tRNA from 1 species
CAGAUUUAUCUAUUAAUUUGGAUUUAAUUAUUUUUUAAUCUGA